AUGCCGUGAUGAGGGAAUUGUCUAAGUAGUUCCUUAAAUAUUUCACAAGCCUCGAAAAGUGAUUCUCCAUCUCCUUGCCUAAAUGAUGUAAUUUCAUUUCUGAUUUU